CGAGAAAGCCCGCAAGGGUGAGUAAAGCGGCGCACGGGUGCGUAACACGUGGGUAAUCUGCCCUGGAGUCCGGAAUAACUCGCCGAAAGGCGUGCUAAUGCCGGAUGAGACCACGGGAGCCUCGGCUCCUGCGGAAAAAGGUGGCCUCUGUACACAAGCUAUCACUCCAGGAUGAGCCCGCGGCCCAUCAGCUAGUUGGCGGGGUAAUGGCCCACCAAGGCAACGACGGGUAGCUGGUCUGAGAGGACGAUCAGCCACACUGGAACUGAGACACGGUCCAGACUCCUACGGGAGGCAGCAGUGGGGAAUCUUGCGCAAUGGGCGAAAGCCUGACGCAGCAACGCCGCGUGUGUGAUGAAGGUCUUCGGAUCGUAAAGCACUGUCGCGAGGGACG
rnacentral:rRNA from 1 species